CCCUUAGAUGUUCUGGGCCGCACGCGCGCUACAAUGGUCUUCGCAAACGGAUGCAUUCUCGAAGGAGAAUGCCAAUCUUGGAAUCUAUGCCUUGGUCGGGACAGUUGCUAGCAAUUUUUCGACUCGAACCAGGAAUUCCUUGUAAUCGUGAUUCAUCACAUCACGAUGAAUACGUCCCUGCCCUUUGUACACACCGCCCGUCGCUCCUACCGAUCGAAGAGUUAGGUGAAUUGUUUUGAUCGAUAAGAUUUGACUAUGGUCAACUCUCGUUGUGAAAUUCUGUGAAUCUGACUGUUUAGAGGAAGGAAAAGUCGUAACA
rnacentral:rRNA from 1 species